AUACGGCCAUAUCAUGUUGAAACAUUGUUUCUCAAACGAUCACCGAAGUUAAGCAACGUCGAUCCUGGUCAGUACCUAGAUGGGUGACCAUUUGGGAACACCAGAUGCCGUAAG